CCGCCGCGUCCCCUUUAAAUGCCCGGGAGCCGGAGCCGGAGCCGGAGCCGCAGCCGGCGCUGCGGCUGCUGCAGCAGCGGAGCCCACCGCAGUCCCCACACGUCACAAGCGACUGUCCAAUCACAGCGGCGCCGGCGCACAUCAAAGGGGCGGGCCGCCCGAGGCCACGCCUCCCUCCUGCCCCGGAGGCUCCCGGAGCUCCAGCCAAGGGCUGUGGACUUUCUCAUCCGCCGCCUCCAGAGCUCCGGUUCCUGAGAUUUGCAGAAGUGCACCUCCACCUCCUGCCCAUUCCGCUCUCGCGUCCUAAACCCAGUGGGAGGCACGGGAUGACCCAGCGGAGUCGCAGCGUCCCGACCCGGCCCUCGGGACCCUUUCCCCAGAUUAUAGGUUACUGAGGAUUGCGGGGGAUGGCGGGAGGAGUGACUCCGCACCCCCACCCCCGCCCGUAAAGUUGGUGGAGCGGGUGGUGACAGACAGUUUGCCCCUUUUGUAGAUAGCCCUAUAAAUAAAAAACGCACUUUCUCCCUG